UCUCACAUCGAUGAAGAACGUAGCAAAAUGUGAUACUUGGUGUGAAUUUCAGAAUCCCGUGAACCAUCGAGUCUUUGCAUGCAAGUUGCGUUGGAAGGCAUUAGGCAGAGGGCACGUCUACCUUGACGUCACGCAUCACGUCGCCCCCCGCAUGGCGCAAGGC
rnacentral:rRNA from 1 species